rnacentral:SRP_RNA from 1 species
GCCAGGCAUUGUGGUGAGUGCCUGUAGUUCCAACUACUUGGGAGGCAGAGGCAGGAGAAUCACUUGAGCCCAGGGGUUGGAGGUUGCUGUGAGCUGUGAUGCCAGAGCACUCUACCCAGGGUGACAGCUUGAGGCUCUAUCUCAAAAAAUAAAAUAAAUUAGGUGAAAGAAUGCUAGAAGAAACUGAAACACAUAAAGGUGUAAUUAGUGUUUUGAGUCAGUGGAAUUUUUUUUUUUUUUUUUUUGGAGACAGAGCCUCAAGCUGUCACCCUGGGUAGAGUGCUCUGACAUCACAACUCACAGCAACCUCCCACUCCUGGGCUCAAGCAAUUCUCCUGCCUCCG